GCUCUUAUAGCUUAAAAACCAUAAAGCAUUGUUCUUGUAAACCAAAGCCGGGUCCCCCUUAGAGCAAUA
rnacentral:tRNA from 1 species